GAUUAAGUUAUUAAGGGCGCACGGUGGAUGCCUUGGCACUAGAAGCCGACGAAGGACGUUACUAACGACGAUAUGCUUUGGGUAGCUGUAAGUAAGCGUUGAUCCAGAGAUUUCCGAAUGGGGGAACCCAGCACGAGUUAUGUCGUGUUAUCGACAAGUGAAUUCAUAGCUUGUCAGAAGGCAGACCCGGAGAACUGAAACAUCUUAGUACCCGGAGGAAGAGAAAGAAAAAUCGAUUCCCUGAGUAGCGGCGAGCGAAACGGGAAGAGCCCAAACCAAUAAGCUUGCUUAUUGGGGUUGUAGGACACUCUAUACGGAGUUACAAAGGAAUAUAUUAGACGAAUCAUCUGGAAAGUUGAAUCAAAGAAGGUAAUAAUCCUGUAGUUGAAAAUAUAUUCUCUCUUGAGUGGAUCCUGAGUACGACGGAGCACGUGAAAUUCCGUCGGAAUCUGGGAGGACCAUCUCCUAAGGCUAAAUACUCUCUAGUGACCGAUAGUGAACCAGUACCGUGAGGGAAAGGUGAAAAGUACCCCGGAAGGGGAGUGAAAGAGAACUUGAAACCGUGUGCUUACAAGUAGUCAGAGCCCGUUAAUGGGUGAUGGCGUGCCUUUUGUAGAAUGAACCGGCGAGUUACGAUCUGAUGCAAGGUUAAGCAGGAGAUGUGGAGCCGUAGCGAAAGCGAGUCUGAAUAGGGCGUUGAGUAUUUGGUCGUAGACCCGAAACCAGGUGAUCUACCCAUGGUCAGGUUGAAGUUCAGGUAACACUGAAUGGAGGACCGAACCGACUUACGUUGAAAAGUGAGCGGAUGAACUGUGGGUAGCGGAGAAAUUCCAAUCGAACUUGGAGAUAGCUGGUUCUCUCCGAAAUAGCUUUAGGGCUAGCCUCAAGUGAUGAUUAUUGGAGGUAGAGCACUGUUUGGACGAGGGGCCCCUCUCGGGUUACCGAAUUCAGACAAACUCCGAAUGCCAAUUAAUUUAACUUGGGAGUCAGAACAUGGGUGAUAAGGUCCGUGUUCGAAAGGGAAACAGCCCAGACCACCAGCUAAGGUCCCAAAAUAUAUGUUAAGUGGAAAAGGAUGUGGCGUUGCCCAGACAACUAGGAUGUUGGCUUAGAAGCAGCCAUCAUUUAAAGAGUGCGUAAUAGCUCACUAGUCGAGUGACACUGCGCCGAAAAUGUACCGGGGCUAAACAUAUUACCGAAGCUGUGGAUUGUCCGUAGGACAAUGGUAGGAGAGCGUUCUAAGGGCGUUGAAGCAUGAUCGCAAGGACAUGUGGAGCGCUUAGAAGUGAGAAUGCCGGUGUGAGUAGCGAAAGACGGGUGAGAAUCCCGUCCACCGAUUGACUAAGGUUUCCAGAGGAAGGCUCGUCCGCUCUGGGUUAGUCGGGUCCUAAGCUGAGGCCGACAGGCGUAGGCGAUGGAUAACAGGUUGAUAUUCCUGUACCACCUAGCAUCGUUUUAAUCGAUGGGGGGACGCAGUAGGAUAGGCGAAGCGUACGAUUGGAUUGUACGUCUANNNNNNNNNNNNNNNNNNNNNNNNNNNNNNNNNNNNNNNNNNNNNNNNNNNNNNNNNNNNNNNNNNNNNNNNNNNNNNNNNNNNNNNNNNNNNNNNNGGUUAGCUUCUGCGAAGCUACGAAUCGAAGCCCCAGUAAACGGCGGCCGUAACUAUAACGGUCCUAAGGUAGCGAAAUUCCUUGUCGGGUAAGUUCCGACCCGCACGAAAGGCGUAACGAUUUGGGCACUGUCUCAACGAGAGACUCGGUGAAAUCAUAGUACCUGUGAAGAUGCAGGUUACCCGCGACAGGACGGAAAGACCCCGUGGAGCUUUACUGUAGCCUGAUAUUGAAAUUCGGCACAGCUUGUACAGGAUAGGUAGGAGCCUUUGAAACGUGAGCGCUAGCUUACGUGGAGGCGCUGGUGGGAUACUACCCUAGCUGUGUUGGCUUUCUAACCCGCACCACUUAUCGUGGUGGGAGACAGUGUCAGGCGGGCAGUUUGACUGGGGCGGUCGCCUCCUAAAAGGUAACGGAGGCGCUCAAAGGUUCCCUCAGAAUGGUUGGAAAUCAUUCAUAGAGUGUAAAGGCAUAAGGGAGCUUGACUGCGAGACCUACAAGUCGAGCAGGGUCGAAAGACGGACUUAGUGAUCCGGUGGUUCCGCAUGGAAGGGCCAUCGCUCAACGGAUAAAAGCUACCCCGGGGAUAACAGGCUUAUCUCCCCCAAGAGUUCACAUCGACGGGGAGGUUUGGCACCUCGAUGUCGGCUCAUCGCAUCCUGGGGCUGUAGUCGGUCCCAAGGGUUGGGCUGUUCGCCCAUUAAAGCGGUACGCGAGCUGGGUUCAGAACGUCGUGAGACAGUUCGGUCCCUAUCCGUCGUGGGCGUAGGAAAUUUGAGAGGAGCUGUCCUUAGUACGAGAGGACCGGGAUGGACAUACCUCUGGUGUACCAGUUGUCGUGCCAACGGCAUAGCUGGGUAGCUAUGUAUGGACGGGAUAAGUGCUGAAAGCAUCUAAGCAUGAAGCCCCCCUCAAGAUGAGAUUUCCCAACUUCGGUUAUAAGAUCCCUCAAAGAUGAUGAGGUUAAUAGGUUCGAGGUGGAAGCGUGGUGACACGUGGAGCUGACGAAUACUAAUCGAUCGAAGACUUAAUCAA
rnacentral:rRNA from 1 species